rnacentral:rRNA from 1 species
GACGAACGCUGGCGGCGUGCUUAACACAUGCAAGCCGAACGGAAAGGCCCUGCUUUUGUGGGGUGCUCGAGUGGCGAACGGGUGAGUAACACGUGAGUAACCUGCCCUUGACUUUGGGAUAACUUCAGGAAACUGGGGCUAAUACCGGAUAGGAGCUCCUGCUGCAUGGUGGGGGUUGGAAAGUUUCGGCGGUUGGGGAUGGACUCGCGGCUUAUCAGCUUGUUGGUGGGGUAGUGGCUUACCAAGGCUUUGACGGGUAGCCGGCCUGGGAGGGUGACCGGCCACAUUGGGACUGGGAUACGGCCCAGACUCCUACGGGAGGCAGCAGUGGGGAAUAUUGCACAAUGGGCGGAAGCCUGAUGCAGCAACGCCGCGUGCGGGAUGACGGCCUUCGGGUUGUAAACCGCUUUCGCCUGUGACGAAGCGUGAGUGACGGUAAUGGGUAAAGAAGCACCGGCUAACUACGUG